rnacentral:rRNA from 1 species
AUGCAAGUCGAACGGUAACAGGUCUAGCUUGCUAGAUGCUGACGAGUGGCGGACGGGUGAGUAACGCGUGGGAACAUGCCUAUUAGUCUGGGACAACCUGUGGAAACGCAGGCUAAUACCGGAUAUGCACUAAGGUGUAAAGGUGGCCUCUAUUUAUAUGCUAUCGCUAAUAGAUUGGCCCGCGUUGGAUUAGCUAGUUGGUAGGGUAAAGGCCUACCAAGGCGACGAUCCAUAGCUGGUUUGAGAGGAUGAUCAGCCACACUGGGACUGAGACACGGCCCAGACUCCUACGGGAGGCAGCAGUGGGGAAUAUUGGACAAUGGGGGCAACCCUGAUCCAGCAAUGCCGCGUGUGUGAAGAAGGCCUGAGGGUUGUAAAGCACUUUCAAUUGUGAAGAAGGGUGUAAUCUUAAUACGGUUAUACAUUGACGUUAACAAUAGAAGAAGCACCGGCUAACUCUGUGCCAGCAGCCGCGGUAAUACAGAGGGUGCAAGCGUUAAUCGGAAUUACUGGGCGUAAAGCGCGCGUAGGUGGUUUGAUAAGUUGGAUGUGAAAUCCCCGGGCUUAACCUGGGUCGGUCAUUCAAAACUGUCAGACUAGAGUAUGGUAGAGGGUAGUGGAAUUUCUAGUGUAGCGGUGAAAUGCGUAGAUAUUAGAAGGAACACCAGUGGCGAAGGCGACUGCCUGGACUGAUACUGACACUGAGGUGCGAAAGCGUGGGUAGCGAACAGGAUUAGAUACCCUGGUAGUCCACGCCGUAAACGAUGUCAACUAG